rnacentral:rRNA from 1 species
GAUGAACGCUGGCGGCGUGCCUAAUACAUGCAAGUCGAGCGAACGGACGAGAAGCUUGCUUCUCUGAUGUUAGCGGCGGACGGGUGAGUAACACGUGGAUAACCUACCUAUAAGACUGGGAUAACUUCGGGAAACCGGAGCUAAUACCGGAUGAUAUUUUGAACCGCAUGGUUCAAAAGUGAAAUUCGGUCUUGCUGUCACUUAUCGAUGGAUCCGCGCUGCAUUAGCUAGUUGGUAAGGUAACGGCUUACCACGGCAACGAUGCGUAGCCGACCUGAGAGGGUGGUAGGCCACACUGGAGCUGAGACACGGACCAGACUCCUACGGGAGGCAGCAGAAGGGAAUCUUCCGCAAUGGGCGAAAGCCUGACGGAGCAACGCCGCGUGAGUGACGAAGGUCUUCGGAUCGUAAAACUCUGUUAUUAGGGGAGAACAUAUGUGUAAGUAACUGUGCACAUCUUGACGGUACCUAAUCAGAAAGCCACGGCUAACUACGUG